GAGGUUGUGGCUCACUGGUAGAGCACUUGCCUGCCACGUGUGAGGCACUGAGUUUGAUCCUCAGCCUCA
rnacentral:tRNA from 1 species